rnacentral:rRNA from 1 species
AGAACGAACGCUGGCGGCGUGCCUAACACAUGCAAGUCGAGCGCGAAUGGAGCAAUCCUAGUAGAGCGGCGCACGGGUGCGUAACACGUGGAUAAUCUGCCUGGAAGACCGGAAUAACCAUUGGAAACUUUGGCUAAUACCGGAUAAGCCCACAGGGACUUCGGGUCCCAGGGGGAAAAGGUGGCCUCUGUAUACAAGCUAUCACUACCAGAUGAGUCCGCGGCCCAUCAGCUAGUUGGCGGGGUAACGGCCCACCAAGGCAACGACGGGUAGCUGGUCUGAGGGGACGAUCAGCCAC